ACGCCCAUAUUUGCUGCCAGCCUGCAGACAGCAGCUGCUGCCGGCAGCGACUCACUCUACAGUGAUGGCGGCUGCGCUGACGUUCCAGAUUAGAGAGUCAUAUCUCUUUGUUCCCCCAGGGGAGCCUCUCUGUUUAAGGGGAUACUAUUAAGGAUGAUGUCACCCAAUAAUCACUGGAUCAGACUGGUCUCCCCAUAGCCACACUGUCACCAGCAGCAUUAUUUAUACAUAAACCCCCAGCCUUCCUCCAUGGACAGAUUUGCCAGCUCACAUCAAACAUCACUGGAAACUGCACUGGAUGAAUGUGGUCCAGUAUGGCACCUUCUCCAACUCUGACCUUCGCAUCUCUUCAUAGAAAACUGGUACAGAAUUACAGGCUUCAUUACUUUUGUUGCUGUGUGUUUGACUGAAAUUGGUACAACACAUUACAGGUAGGGAAAAGCAACGGGUUACGUACUUGAAUAAGAAAAGGGCGUGUAUUAACAAGUGUCCAACUAUGAACAUACAGUCUCCCCUGGCAUGCAGUCUCAGGUCCUAGAGAAAAGACCUUAGUGGAAAGUCCUACUAUGUCUUGAGCAUGUGCUCAAUAUGCUCCUUAUUGCAGCUAUAUUUCUUGUGUCUGUGCAGAGAGAAUUAAGGCUCUUCUGGGACAUUGCUUUUGUUGUAUGAAUACCAGAGCAAUUAUUUUUACAGAGUAUAUUCUAUGAAAAAAAUAGUUCACUCAGGUCUACUUUAGCCCUGCAUUACAGAUGCAAAUGAAAGCAACACAUAAUGUGAAUUUGUAUUUCACCAGUAAACUAACCCAUCACUGACUUUUCAUUGUCCUUUACUAGUUUGAAUUAACAUCCAUUUAAAUGUUACAUUUAACCUAAUGUACUUAACUUACAUUUCACUUAAAGAAAUGCCAAUCUUACAGUUUUAGUUAAAUGGGGAAGAUUUUCCAUUGAAUUUUUCAUAUCAUCACAUAGUUCAAAAGCACAGGGGACUACAACAACUCGGGGGAUUAAGUCUCCAGCACUUCCUAAAACUUUUCUCCUUGUUCCAGGGCGGGGUGCUGAGUGCUUCCCGGAGCAGUUCCCCGUUGCCAGCAGUGUCUGCCUGUGCCAGUCAUCUCCUGGAGCAGUUCCCUACUGCCAGCCAUGCUGAAAAGACAGGGAAUUUCCCUUUGGGGAGCUGCCGGGGCACUUGCUGCCACGUGGCUCACAAUCACCCAGUCCUGGUGCCGCUCCAGUUCAUCAUUGUCAAGUGGUUUUGCUCCAUUGGGAUCCGUGCUGCUGUCUCGGUGGCACAGGACUUUUUUCUUCUAAUGACAUACUCUUACAGGUGUUUCUCAUUUUAACCAAGGGGGAGGGGGAUGGCUAGGUGACAUUUUUUCUGCUAUUUAUUAUUUUUGUUUUGUUCUCCAUUUUUUUUAGUAAAAUUGUUAUCUUUUUUUCCUCCUUCAUUUAGAUUCCUCUUAACUACAAAAUUUGUCAAUAUUUGGGGAAGGGAAAUAAACAGAAGAGAAAUGGAGUUUUACCUCAUUAGAGGUCCCACCUCCUGAACAUACUGUCAUUAAAUCAAGACAAGCAAAAGCUUUUAUUUUGCUCUGACAUAACAUUAAAGAUUUUAAAAACUU